UAGUAACGGCGAGUGAAGAGGGAAGAGCCCAAGAUUGAAAGCUGGCGUCUUCGGCGUCCGCAUUGUAAUCUCAAGAAGUGUUUUCCGUUUCGGACCGAGCCUAAGUCCCUUGGAAAAGGGCAUCGUAGAGGGUGAGAAUCCCGUACAUGGCUUGGAGCGCCCGAGGCUUUGUGAUACGCUUUCUAAGAGUCGAGUUGUUUGGGAAUGCAGCUCAAAAUGGGUGGUAAAUGCCAUCUAAGGCUAAAUAUUGGGGAGAGACCGAUAGCGAACAAGUACCGUGAGGGAAAGAUGAAAAGAACUUUGAAAAGAGAGUUAAACAGUACGUGAAAUUGCCAAAAGGGAAGGGUAGGAGGUCAGAGAUGCAUUCUGGGAUUCAGCCUUGCUUUUGCUUGGUGUUUUUCCCAGUUCGCAGGCCAACGCCGGUUUUGGGCACUGGAGAAUGGUUAGAGGAACGUGGCACCCCUCGGGGUGUGUUAUAGCCUCCUACUGGAUACAGCGACCGAGACCGAGGACAGCAGCGACACUCGCAAGAGCAGAU
rnacentral:rRNA from 1 species